rnacentral:rRNA from 1 species
AGCGAACGCUGGCGGCAGGCCUAACGCAUGCAAGUCGAACGAACCUUUCGGGGUUAGUGGCGGACGGGUGAGUAACACGUGGGAACGUGCCUUUAGGUUCGGAAUAACUCAGGGAAACUUGUGCUAAUACCGAAUGUGCCCUUCGGGGGAAAGAUUAAUCGCCUUUAGAGCGGCCCGCGUCUGAUUAGCUAGUUGGUUGAGGUAAUGGCUCACCAAGGCGACGAUCAGUAGCUGGUCUGAGAGGAUGAUAAGCCACAUUGGGACUGAGACACGGCCCAAACUCCUACGGGAGGCAGCAGUGGGGAAUCUUGCGCAAUGGGCGAAAGCCUGACGCAGCCAUGCCGCGUGAAUGAUGAAGGUCUUAGGAUUGUAAAAUCCUUUCACCGGGGACGAUAAUGACGGUACCCGGAGAAGAAGCCCCGGCUAACUUCGUG